rnacentral:rRNA from 1 species
UAGGCUGCAACUCGCCUACACGAAGUUGGAAUUGCUAGUAAUCGUGGAUCAGCAUGCCACGGUGAAUACGUUCCCGGGUCUUGUACACACCGCCCGUCACACCAUGAGAGUUGGGAAUACCCGAAGCCUGUGAGCUAACUUAUAGAGGCAGCAGUCGAAGGUAGAAUCAAUGAUUGGGGUGAAGUCGUAACAAGGUAUC